rnacentral:miRNA from 1 species
AUUUGAUUAUUUUUUGGGU